CAAUGAUUGAGAAGCAGUUUGACCAAUGGCGUGCGUAAGGCGGGACUUAACAAGAAAGGUCAAAACAGUGCAGAAACGCACACCAAAAAUUGUCUACCAUAGAAAGCAAAAGGGGAAAUUUCCUGCGACAUUGUGAGGUCAUCAUACUGGUGCACCCUUGGCCUUGUCAGUGGGUGAGGUCACAUCACUAAACUGUCUGAAGAAGCAUCAACAUGGAGAUUGAAUUGGAGACCAUUGUUCUGUUCGAAUUGUAGUUUGUGGAAGAUGC